rnacentral:rRNA from 1 species
GAUUUCUGGCCUGGUGCGCCUGGCCCGCCAGCGUUAGCUGUGUGAGUGUCGGGUCGCGCCUGCCAUCCUUCUGUUGGCCCGAUCUACUCUUCAUUGAGCCGGAUCGUGUGAACAGAUCGUUUACUUUGAAAAAAUUAGAGUGUUUAAAGCAGGCUGACCGCUAUGAAUACAUUAGCAUGGAAUAAUAAUUUAGGACUUCGGUUCUAUUUUGUUGGUUUCUAGGACUGAAGUAAUGAUUGAUAGGGAUAGUUGGGGGUGCUAGUAUUCAGCGGCCAGAGGUGAAAUUCUCGGAUUCGCUGAAGACUAACUUAUGCGAAAGCAUU